rnacentral:misc_RNA from 1 species
UGAGGAUGUUCGGGAUGUUGAGGAGCUGCAGGUUGUAGAUGCUUUUAGACAGGCACUCAUUGCGGAUGACUUGCUUCCUGCAAGACAUGAUGAUUAUCACAUGUUGCUGAGGUUCUUAAAAGCAAGGAAGUUUGACAUUGAGAAAGCAAAGCAAAUGUGGGCCAAUAUGAUUCAGUGGAGGAAAGACUUCGGCACUGACACAAUUAUGGAGGAUUUUGAGUUUAAUGAGUUGAAUGAAGUUCUCAAGUACUAUCCCCAGGGUUACCAUGGUGUAGAUAAAGAGGGUAGGCCUGUCUACAUUGAAAGGCUAGGGAAAGUUGAUCCCAGCAAACUUGUGCAAGUGACCACUAUAGAACGAUAUUUGAAAUAUCAUGUGCAGGAGUUUGAAAAGAGUUUUGUAAUUAAGUUUCCUGCUUGCUCUAUUGCUGCAAAAAGACACAUAGAUUCAAGUACAACUAUUUUGGAUGUGCAAGGAGUGGGUUUGAAAAACUUUACCAAGUCUGCACGAGAACUCAUCAUACGUCUACAAAAGAUUGAUAGUGACAACUACCCUGAGACACUUUGCCGAAUGUUUAUAAUUAAUGCUGGUCCUGGUUUUAAGUUGCUCUGGAACACAGUGAGAUCUUUUCUUGAUUCUCAAACAGCCAGCAAGAUUCAUGUUUUUGGCAAUAAGUUCCAGAACAAAUUACUUGAAAUAAUAGAUGAAAGUGAGUUGCCCGAAUUUCUGGGUGGGAGCUGUACAUGUGCUGAUCAGGGAGGUUGUAUGAGAUCUGACAAGGGGCCAUGGAAGGAUCCAAACAUUCUAAAGAUGGUUGAGAAUGGUGAAGCACUAUAUUCCAGACAAAUAGUAACAUUUUCAAACAGUGAAUCUGAUAAGCAACGUUAUCCACUGAUAAAAACUGGUGAUACAUCUACCGCAGAGUCAGGAUCUGAAGUGGAAGAUGUUGCAUCUCCUAAACCAACUAGGAGCUAUUUGCUUCCAAGAUUGACUCCUGUCUGUGAAGAAGCUAGGGUGAUUGGUAGGGCAAGUGCUGCUGGAGGCUUCUCAGAAUAUGAUGAAUAUGUACCCAUGAUUGACAAGACUGUAGAUGGUGGAUGCAAGAAACAAGUGCUCUCUCAAGAGCCACAUACGUCCAGAGGUUAUCAAGUUUAACUGCAAUAGGCUCUAAGCAUUAUGCUUUCUUUGUCUUGUCUGAUGAGGGUACCCUUAUCACAAUUGGAUUUAAUUUUAUCUACUUUGAUAUUAUAAUGAUUGGACACUGAAUGGGUUCCAUGAAAUUCAACGUAGGAACACUACCUCCACCAAGUGUAGAAAAAUCUCCAGAAGGAUUAUUUGCUUGUAUUUGGGCUCUGCUCAUGGCGAUCUUCAUAGCAUUCCUCUCUGUCAUCCAUUCAUUUCCAAUUUGGUUGACUAAGAAAAACCCUGAGCCUAAUUCUGUCUGUGAUGCUUCUGAUCCAACUCUUGAACCAAUGCUCAAGGAGGAGUCCCGUCCCCCUUCUCCUGCUCCAGGAUUUACUCAGGCAGGCCUGCUCUCGUCUGUAUUGAAAAGGCUGGGUGAACUUGAAGAGAAGGUUGACAUGCUACAGAUGAAGCCUUUUCAAAUGCCUUAUGAGAAAGAGGAGUUGCUGAAUGCUGCUGUUUGUCGGGUGGAUGCACUAGAAGCUGAGCUAAUUUCUACAAAAAAGGUGAUCAUAUCUCUUAUUCCAUCCUACCCUUCUUGCAGAAACACAGUGAUAUGGUACAAAUUCAUUGGUUUGCUUCCUUUACCUACUUCAAAAGUUAAAUUUUUAAGGUUUCGCACUGGAGAUGCAUCUAUCAUAUGCAUAGAUUCGGACCUCAAUUACUGGGAAGUAUGUUGAGUAACUGUUUCCCUAGGGUGAAAAAUGUGGUUGUAUAUGAUCUCACGAGUGUCAUACUUUAUCAGUAAAAGCUAGGAUAUUACUUGACAUCUUAACUGUGUGCUGUGCCCUGGAAUUCUCUUAAAGCCCUGAAGCAGUGGAAUUUCUACAUCUUCCUUUUUCUCUCUUCCUGUGAAUGUGUGUUAUUGGAAAGCAAAUAAUUCUUGGAUAUUAUACGUUUAUACUAUUUGCAAUUAGUUUAGGCAUUUAGCAGACAACUAUGUAGAAAAGCAACUAACCUCUGGAUAUUAUAUACAUUUAUACUAUCUGCAAUUAGUUUAGGCAUUUAGCAGACAACUAUGUAGAAAAGCAACUAACCUCUGGAUAUUAUAUACAUUUAUACUAUC